CAUGCUCACUACAUACAAGCUCACUAACACACACACAUGUUCACUACAGACAAGUGCACUGACAGACAAGCUCACUGACACACACACACAUGUUCACUACAGACAAGCUCAUUUACACACACACACACACACACACAUUUGUUCACGACAGACCAGUACACUGACAGACAAGCUCACUGACACACACAUGUGGCCCUAUAG